AGGGGAGUGAACGCGGUAUUGGUGCGGUUCAAUCAGAGAGCUGGUGCCCCAGGAGGCAAGGGGUUCCUCCCUUCGAUUGAGCCGUGCCAAUAUCACGCGGUUUCUC
rnacentral:pre_miRNA from 1 species